rnacentral:rRNA from 1 species
UACGUAGGGCGCAAGCGUUGUCCGGAAUUAUUGGGCGUAAAGAGCUCGUAGGCGGUCAGUCGCGUCUGCUGUGAAAACUCGAGGCUCAACCUCGGCUUGCAGUGGUACGGCUGACUAGAGUGCGGUAGGGUGACUGGAAUUCCUGGUGUAGCGGUGAAUGCGCAGAUAUCAGGAGGAACACCGGUGCGAGCGGACUCUGGCGAUACUGACGCUGAGAGCGAAGCGUGGAGCAACAG